rnacentral:misc_RNA from 1 species
GCAAACUUGGUCAUUUAGAGGAAGUAAAAGUCGUAACAAGGUUUCCGUAGGUGAACCUGCGGAAGGAUCAUCAAUAAUCCAUUUAUUUUCACCCUUGUGAACUGUUUGCCGGGACUUGCUUGUCGAGUCCUAUGGGCGCAAUGGUCGUAGCGUUUGUGUUGGCCUUUGGCUGGCGCGGCCUGCGACCUUGCGUUCAGUACAAACACCUUUUUUAAUACAAGCUAAUGCAAAAACAAUAAAUAAAACAACUUUCAACAAUGGAUCUCUUGGCUCUCGCAUCGAUGAAGAACGCAGC